AGCAGAGUGGCACAGUGGAAGUGUGCUGGGCUCAUACUCCAGUGGUCAGUGGAUCAAAACCAUCCUUUGCUA